CCUACGGGUGGCAGCAGUGGGGAAUAUUGGACAAUGGGCGCAAGCCUGACCCAGCAACGCCGCGUGAAUGAAGAAGGCUUUCGGGUUGUAAACUUCUUUUCUCAGGGACGAAGCAAGUGACGUUACCUGAGGAAUAAGCCACGGCUAACUACGUACCAACAGCCGCGGUACUACGUAGGUGGCAAGCGUUAUCCGGAUUUACUGGGUGUAAAGGGCGUGUAGGCGGGGACGCAAGUCAGAUGUGAAACCCACGGGCUCAACCUGUGACCUGCAUUUGAAACUGUGUUUCUUGAGUACUGGAGAGGCAGACGGAAUUCCUAGUGUAGCGGUGAAAUGCGUAGAUAUUAGGAGGAACACCAGUGGCGAAGGCGGUCUGCUGGACAGCAACUGACGCUGAGGCGCGAAAGCGUGGGGAGCAAACAGGAUUAGAUACCCGAGUAGUC
rnacentral:rRNA from 1 species